GCACUGAUGGAUAUCAAAAGGGGUGAGACAGUACAUAACCAUCUUAUUUGAACCUUGAAUGACCUGUUAGCAGAAUACAAGAAUUGAUUUAAUCAUAGAUGGGUAUUACAUCUAUGAUUUAAUGAAAUACUUACGUAUUUGUGUAGCCGUUUAGAAAUUACUGUUAUUGUUUUUAUUUAUAUUUUUCAUCUGUUCUUGAUUAGAUUUAAAAUGCAAAUCAGUGUUAAAUGUUUUAAGAAGACUUAGUGUUUGUUUAACGUGCAUACAUGUUAUAAGUAAACUGAAAACUUAUAGUAUGUUGCUAAUAUAAGAAUAAGAAAAUAAGGUAUGAAUGCCAAUGAGACAACCUCCACAAGAGACCAAAUGACAUAGAAAUUAACAACUGUAUGUCACCGUAUGGCCUUCAACAAUGAUCAAAACCCAUACCGUAUAGUCAGCAACAAAAGUUCCCGCCUUUUGAAAUGACAAAUGUUUCAUAAUCCAAAUAAAAAAAAAACGAUACACAUACAGCAUACAACAUACUUGUAACUUGACUUUUUUUAAAAAGUAAUCGGAUACUGAAAUUUGUCAGUGGCGGAUCCAGAACUUUUCCUAAGGGGGG
rnacentral:lncRNA from 1 species